GUCAAAAGGGAAAGAGCCCAGACCUACAGCUAAGGUCCCAAAGUACGUGUUAAGUGGAAAAGGAUGUGGGGAUUCUAAGACAACUAGGACGUUGGCUUAGAAGCAGCCAUUCAUUGAAAGAGUGCGUAAUAGCUCACUAGUCGAGAGUCCCUGCGCCGAAAAUGUCCGGGGCUGAAACACGACACCGAAGCUUAGGAAUGUGUAAACAUUGGUAGAGGAGCAUUGCUAGCGGGAUGAAGCCAUACCGUAAGGAGUGGUGGACUGCUAGGAAGAGAGAAUGCCGGAAUGAGUAGCGAGAUGAAGGUGAGAAUCCUUCAGGCCGAAUAUCUAAGGUUUCCAGAGUAAAGCUGAUCUGCUCUGGGUAAGUCGGGACCUAAGGCGAGGUCGAAAGACGUAGUCGAUGGAUAACAGGUUGAAAUUCCUGUACCGCAUAUAAACAGAACUGUGGGGACACAGACAGGGAAUGGAAUCCGGGAAUGGAUAUCCCGGUGCAAGCGAGGUAGGAGUGCUGUUGGCAAAUCCGCAGCACGAUCUGAAGACGUGACGCGUACCGAACAUAAGUAGGGAAGUCCAGGCCCCUGGCUGUCAAGAAAAGCCGCUAUUGUUUUAUAUGUGCCCGUACCGCAAACCGACACAGGUGGAUGAGGAGAGAAUCCUAAGGCCGACGGGAGAAGUAUUGUUAAGGAACUCGGCAAAAUGACUCCGUAACUUCGGGAGAAGGAGUGCCAUGAGAGUGGCCGCAGAGAAAUGGCCCAAGCAACUGUUUAGCAAAAACACAGGUCUAUGCAAAACCGCAAGGUGAAGUAUAUGGGCUGACGCCUGCCCGGUGCUGGAAGGUUAAGGGGAGAUGUCAGGAGACGAAGCAUCGAACUUAAGCCCCAGUAAACGGCGGCCGUAACUAUAACGGUCCUAAGGUAGCGAAAUUCCUUGUCGGGUAAGUUCCGACCCGCACGAAAGGCGUAAUGAUUUGGGCACUGUCUCAACGAUACACCCGGUGAAAUUGAAAUACCAGUGAAGAUGCUGGUUACCUGCGCCAGGACGGAAAGACCCCAUGGAGCUUUACUCCAGUUUGAUACUGGGAUUCGGCAUGGUAUGUACAGGAUAGGUGGGAGACUGAGAAGGUAUGACGUCAGUUGUACCGGAGUCGCUGUUGGGAUACCACCCUUACCAUGUUGGAUUUCUAACCUGUGGCCGUAAGCCGGUCAGGGGACAAUGUCAGGCGGGGAGUUUGACUGGGGCGGUCGCCUCCGAAAGGGUAUCGGAGGCGCUCAAAGGUUCCCUCAGAAUGGUUGGAAACCAUUCGAAGAGUGCAAAGGCAGAAGGGAGCUUGACUGUGACACCGACGGGUGGAGCAGGUACGAAAGUAGGACUUAGUGAUCCGGUGGUAUAAAGUGGGAUUGCCAUCGCUCAACGGAUAAAAGCUACCCUGGGGAUAACAGGCUU
rnacentral:rRNA from 1 species